AUGCCAUUUCCAGUCACAACACAGGGAUCACAGCAAACAUAGCUGCCACAGAAGCACUAUGGCAUUACUUCUCCCAUCAGCUUAGCAGCGCCCAAGGAGACUGACUGCCUGCUCACACAGAAGCUAGUUGAGACUCUGAAGCCCUUUGGGGUUUUUGAAGAGGAAGAGGAACUGCAGCGCAGGAUUUUAAUUUUGGGAAAAUUAAAUAACCUGGUAAAAGAGUGGAUACGAGAAAUCAGUGAAAGCAAGAAUCUUCCACAAUCUGUAGUUGCAAAUGUUGGUGGGAAAACUUUUACAUUUGGAUCUUAUAGAUUAGGAGUACGUAUAAAAGGUGCUGAUAUUGAUGCAUUGUGUGUUGCACCAAGACAUGUUGAUCAAAGUGAUUUUUUUCACCUCCUUCUAUGAUAAGUUGAAAUUACAGGAAGAAGUAGAAGAUUUAAGAGCUGUUGAAGAGGCAUUUGUACCAGUUAUCAAACUGUGUUUUGAUGGGAUAGAGAUUGAUAUUUUGUUUGCAAGAUUAGCACUGCAGACUAUUCCAGAAGACUUGGACUUAAGAGAUGACAGUCUGCUUAAAAAUUUAGAUAUAAGAUGUAUAAGAAGUCUUAACGGUUGCAGGGUAACCGAUGAAAUUUUACAUCUAGUACCAAACAUUGACAACUUCAGGUUAACCCUGAGAGCUAUCAAACUGUGGGCCAAACGCCACAACAUCUAUUCCAAUAUAGUAGGUUUCCUCGGUGGUGUUUCCUGGGCUAUGCUAGUAGCAAGAACUUGCCAGCUUUAUCCAAAUGCAAUAGCGUCAACUCUUGUACAUAAAUUUUUCUUGGUAUUUUCUAAAUGGUAUGUGUUUAGAUUAUAUUAAAAUAAAAUUG